rnacentral:rRNA from 1 species
CAGCCGCCGCGGUAAUACGAAGGGGGCUAGCGUUGUUCGGAAUUACUGGGCGUAAAGAGCGCGUAGGCGGCCAUUCAAGUUAGAUGUGAAAGCCCUGGGCUCAACCUAGGAAUUGCAUUUGAUACUGUUUGGCUUGAGUUCGGGAGAGGUGAGUGGAAUUCCCAGUGUAGAGGUGAAAUUCGUAGAUAUUGGGAAGAACACCAGUGGCGAAGGCGGCUCACUGGACCGACACUGACGCUGAGGCGCGAAAGCGUGGGGAGCAAACAGGAUUAGAUACCCCCGUAGUCCCUGUCUCUUAUAC